AUGGCUGCGAUGCACAAUAGCAGGAUUCUGAAAAAGACUGAAAUGAAAGAGUUUGUUGGGGGCGCCGCACCAUCAAGUACAACAUCAGACCCUCUUGUUGAUAUGACAAAUACAAAUGGUCUCGGUUUCACUAAUAGACGGGGCAAGGGUAGAGCCAAGUCGUUAUGUGUUGUUCGAAGAAACGACAAAGAGUGUCACGGCUCUAAAGAAAACUGUGACAACUCUGAACAGAACACUCCAAUAGCUUCAAAUGGUAUGCUUCAUCAGAAUUUGUGCAUCCUAUUGUCACGCCUAAUAGUCAGCCAUUUGCGGAUGACCGUGAUGCAUCCUUCAGUACACCAAGCAAUUUGCCUAUGUGCACAGGAGCAAAAGGAUGAGAGGAACAAGAAGGACCAUGAGAGAAGAAAACGGAAGAAGGAGGAAAGUCAAGUUUUAAAGUCUGCAACCAAUAGUGGUGUAGCCCCACUUGGCAAGCUUUCCAAUAUAAGUGCUGCUGAUUUAAUGACAUGCCAAUUGGAAGUGAACGAUUCUUCUACGUUGCAUAAACAACGAAGUGAUGCUUCCCAUCUUAAUAUCACACCCAGACGUCUCCCAUUUACAAUCAUCAACAAUGUAGCUCACUAUGGUCCAAAUGAAGUUCCAAUGAGCUGCGUAAUUCAAACAACCCAAAACAGAGACGUCAAGUUGCGUAAUGCAACUCUUACACCGGAGCAGAAGCAAGCUAAGGUCGAUCGACAGAGAACAAGACGUCAAGCACUAACCAAUGAACAGAGACUAGAGAUGAAUGAUUGCCGUAGGGUUGCAAGGCAAACUCUGCCGAAUGUGGAAAUACAUGAUAUGAAUGCUCGCCAGCGAUCAAGACGACAAAGUGUUACUCCUGGAGAACGGUCUGCUCAUCUGGCACGACGUAAUGAACUGUAUGCAACUAGGCGUGACAAACCAUGCGCUCAAUCGAUUGCAUUGGAGUGCCCUGAGGAUUGUAGCUCGUCGUUGCUAAAUCCAACGCCUUCCUUUGAAACAACCGGUGAUGUGCCAGCUACAUCGAGCCUGCAAACUGAACUUGCUGCAGAUCAUCUUGCACGAUCGUCUAACUUUGAUGAU
rnacentral:lncRNA from 1 species